AACAAAGGUUCUAGGGCCAGGACGUACAGCAAUGGGGAGAGUGGGCACCCUUGCCUCGUUCCAUUUGUGAUCUAAAAGGGAGAGGAGAGGAAUCCCGACUGGAGCACUUGCGCCGAAGGAUUCGCAUAGAGUGCGAAUAUUUGUCGGCACACCUGGAGCGGGACCCCAUAUGCCUCCAAUACCCCUUGGAGGAAGGGCCAGCCCAGGCGGUCGAACGCCUUUUCGGC